GCUUGCUGGGGGGAUUAGUGGCGAACGGGUGAGUAACACGUGAGUAACCUGCCCUUGACUCUGGGAUAAGCCUGGGAAACUGGGUCUAAUACCGGAUAUGACUCCUCAUCGCAUGGUGGGGGGUGGAAAGCUUUUGUGGUUUUGGAUGGACUCGCGGCCUAUCAGCUUGUUGGUGGGGUAAUGGCCUACCAAGGCGACGACGGGUAGCCGGCCUGAGAGGGUGACCGGCCACACUGGGACUGAGACACGGCCCAGACUCCUACGGGAGGCAGCAGUGGGGAAUAUUGCACAAUGGGCGGAAGCCUGAUGCAGCGACGCCGCGUGAGGGAUGACGGCCUUCGGGUUGUAAACCUCUUUCAGUAGGGAAGAAGCCGCAAGGUGACGGUACCUGCAGAAGAAGCGCCGGCUAACUACGUGCCAGCAGCCGCGGUAAUACGUAGGGCGCAAGCGUUAUCCGGAAUUAUUGGGCGUAAAGAGCUCGUAGGCGGUUUGUCGCGUCUGCUGUGAAAGACCGGGGCUCAACUCCGGUUCUGCAGUGGGUA
rnacentral:rRNA from 1 species